rnacentral:lncRNA from 1 species
AAGGCCAUACGGGUCAUUUUCAAAAAAUGUGGAUAUUUCAGUUGUGAAAUAACAAUACAAAAAAAUAUUCAAUUUUCAACUUUAAUAUAUGAAAUUGAAUAGUUUAACAACAAUACAACCUGAAAUAAAAAUAUGCAAUCUUAAAUGCUACUACAAAAAUAUUUUAAAAAAUAACAUAGAAACAAGUAUGGGACAUAUGUCAACUACAUAACGGAUUUAGUUUCGGUCCCUAAUUUUUUUUUAAUAAUAUUUACAUUUUGCUUGAUAUAUAUUUCCAUAAAAAUCAUCACACUUUUUUCAAAACAGUUAACAUGGUUAAAAUAACACUUUUUAGAAACAUAUUUUAAAGUGAAUUUAAUUCAGCAUUGUCAACUACAUAACGCUUUUUGUCAACUACAUAACGAUUCACUGCGUUAUGUAGUUGACCGUUAUGUAGUUGACCUAUUUGUGGUUUUUGGAUGUUUUUCUUGACCCUAAUACUACCAGAUAAAUGGUUUUUAUUGAAUUAGAGUCAGUAUUAUAGACUUUGAAUGAUUUAUGUAAAAAAAAAUAUUUAUGCCAAAAUUUAUCAAUGUUUUUGCCGUUACAAAGUUGACAUAGAAUAAAAUUACGGAGUAAUUUGUACUCACCAAAACUAAUCUAUAAUGAAAUGAAUCAAUGAUGUCAUCCUGUAACUUUAAGCACGUCAUCAGAGGAUGAAGAGUAAGUAGAGAACACUUCCUUAGUUACAAGGGAUAUAAUCAGUUGUUUAUUGGCAACAUUAUUUCAUUUGUGUUAUGUAGUUGACAUUUUUUUAAGUACGAAAUGAAAAGUAAAAAAAAAAUGCUAAUAAAAUCUAAUAAUUCCCUGUAUUUGUGUAUACAUACCUGCAGUGAUACCUAUAUAUUUAUAAUAACAAAAGAAAAAUAAUAAUUUCCGCUGGGUAUUAAAACCAGCAUUUAAAAAAGACUAGUUUUUCAAUUUCGUACAAGCAAUUUUGGGGUUUUUGGACCCUUUGAAACCCACUGGAAGCAAUUUCUGUAGCUAAAUUUCAUAUUGAAUUUGCUGGAACUUGUUACACACACCAAAAACUAAAUGGUGUAUCUAAAAAUUGGAUAAAAAUAUUUACACUUUUUUAGAAAUAUUGAUUGUACAAGAAAAUCCACAUUUUUUGAAAAAGGCCCAUCAGUGACCUAUAGUU